GAUGUCCUUUGCAGUAAGUCGCUCUGGAUAAGAGCGUCUGCUAAAUGACGUAAA
rfam:Salmo salar isolate Sally breed double haploid chromosome ssa10, whole genome shotgun sequence.